ACACGGUUUCACCACGGAAUUUCAAAGUUGUCAUAAGAAGAUAUUUUAUAAGAAAACUGUUUUCAAGCUCAGUGGUUAUCAUUGUCUUAUGAAUCUUUUAAAAACCAAUACGUAAUCGUUCAAAAUCUUUUCAAGGAAACAAUGUUUAUUCUUUCAGAAAUCCGAAACCUUUCCUUUCUUAUAAGAAAAUAUCAAUUAGAAACCAACCAUGCAAUUCAACAACACAAUCAUUAAUUCAGCACCAAAAUUCAUUCUUAAAUGUAGCAUGUCAGGACAAACACAGGCAAGACAGACAAGAAAAGCACAAGUAGGUAGCAGUUAUAGCAAAUAGUUCAAGUAGCAGUUAAGAACAGUUUAGCAAUUAGGCAAACCAAAACAAGUUCAAACCCAAGCAAAGCAUACAAAUGCAUAUGAUGCAUGCCUGUCCUAUGACUGGUGAGGCUCAUCUAUCGGUUAUCCAGCCAACCCGACAAGUCUGAAUUGUACUUAGAUUGUCCCCCGACAUGCAUCUCCAAGAGUCUAGGCAUAGCUUUUUCUCAAAUAAUCAAUAUUGCUCAAUGGGAGUAACAUUCCCAGGAAUUUAUAUAGAGCCCGGUUACACUUACGUCGUAGGGUCAAUAGAGUAUCGAGUUUUCAACCUUGACGAGCCGAAUUCCCAUGGGCAAACAC